rnacentral:rRNA from 1 species
GACGAACGCUGGCGGCGUGCUUAACACAUGCAAGUCGAGCGGUAAGGCCCUUUCGGGGGUACGACGAGCGGCGAACGGGUGAGUAACACGUGGGUGACCUGCCCUCAGCUCUGGGAUAAGCCUGGGAAACCGGGUCUAAUACCGGAUAUGACUCCAUGACGCAUGUUGUGGGGUGGAAAGCCUUGUGCGGCUGAGGAUGGGCCCGCGGCCUAUCAGCUUGUUGGUGGGGUGAUGGCCUACCAAGGCGACGACGGGUAGCCGGCCUGAGAGGGCGACCGGCCACACUGGGACUGAGACACGGCCCAGACUCCUACGGGAGG